rnacentral:rRNA from 1 species
CAAUAGCGUAUAUUAAAGUUGUUGCAGUUAAAAAGCUCGUAGUUGGAUUUGUGGCGUACGGUGGGUUCCGGGCACUUGUUGUCUGAGUAACUUGCUGUUGCCAUCCUUGGGUGGAACCUGUGUGGCAUUAGGUUGUCGUGCAGGGGAUGCCCAUCAUUUACUGUGAAAAAAUUAGAGUGUUCAAAGCAGGCUUAUGCCGUUGAAUAUAUUAGCAUGGAAUAAUGAGAUAGGACUUUUUUGCUAUUUUGUUGGUUUGCGCAAAGAGGUAAUGAUUAAUAGGGACAGUUGGGGGUAUUCGUAUUCCAUUGUCAGAGGUGAAAUUCUUGGAUUUUUGGAAGACGAACUACUGCGAAAGCAUUUACCAAGGAUGUUUUCAUUGA